rnacentral:snRNA from 1 species
GCUUGCUUCAGCACUGCAUAUACUAAAAUUGGAACGAUUAAUGGCUCCUGCGCAAGGAUGACACUCAAAUUCAUGAAGCAUUCCAUAUUUUU